AGGGUACAGCAGCCAGCUCCUGGCUCCCAGGCUCCUGUUUCCACCUAUAGACAGGAAGCACUUGGUCCAUGAGUAUGAGGGGACACGGGUUCGAGCCCUGGUCCAGGGAGAUCCCACAUGCUGCAGAGCAACUAAGCCCGUGCACCACAACUACUGAGCCUGCGCUCUAGAGCCCGCAAGCCACAACUACUGAGCCCACGUGCCACAACUACUGAAGCCCGCACGCCUAGAGCCCGUGCUCUGCAACAAGAGAAGCCACCGCAAUGAGAAGCCCGCACACCCAGCGAAGAGUAGCCCCUGUUCGACGCAACUAAAGAAAUCCCGCGUGCAGCAACGAAGACCCAACGCAACCAAAAUAAAUAAAUAAAUAAAAUAAAUUUAUAAAAAAAGAA